rnacentral:rRNA from 1 species
UCCGUAGGUGGAUAAUUAAGUCAGAGGUGAAAUCCUGCAGCUCAACUGUAGAAUUGCCUUUGAUACUGGUUAUCUUGAGUCAUUAUGAAGUGGUUAGAAUGUGUAGUGUAGCGGUGAAAUGCAUAGAUAUUACACAGAAUACCGAUUGCGAAGGCAGAUCACUAAUAAUGUACUGACACUGAUGGACGAAAGCGUGGGGAGCGAACCGGAUUAGUUACCCGAGUAGUCC